GGUAUCAUCAGAACCAGAGGAAGAAAAAAGCCUCAGAAAGACAUUAAAGUUCGUUUUGCUGCUGAUGACGACACAGUGGAUUAUGAAAAUGAUGGAGAACGUUCUGCUGCCG